rnacentral:tRNA from 1 species
GGGUGCUUAGCUCAGUUGGUAGAGCGGCGCCCUUACAAGGCGUAGGUCGGGGGUUCGAGACCCUCAGCACCCACCA